AGAGUUUGAUCAUGGCUCAGAAUCAACGCUGGCGGCGCGCUUAACACAUGCAAGUCGCACGAGAAAGCAGGAGCAAUCCUGUAAGUACAGUGGCGUACGGGUGAGUAAUACGUGGAUUAUCUGCCCUGGAGUGGGGAAUAACGCUGGGAAACCGGCGCUAAUACCGCAUAUUCCCGAGAGGGGAAAGCAGCAAUGCGCUCGAGGAGGAGUCCGCGGCUGAUUAGCUAGUUGGUAGGGUAACGGCCUACCAAGGCUAUGAUCGGUAGCCGGCCUGAGAGGGCACACGGCCACACUGGCACUGAAACACGGGCCAGACUCCUACGGGAGGCAGCAGUGGGGAAUCUUGCACAAUGGGGGCAACCCUGAUGCAGCGACGCCGCGUGAGCGAUGAAGCCCUUCGGGGUGUAAAGCUCUUUCGGCAGGGAAGAUUAUGACGGUACCUGCAGAAGCAGCUGCGGCUAACUACGUGCCAGCAGCCGCGGUAAUACGUAGGCAGCAAGCGUUGUUCGGAGUUACUGGGCGUAAAGGGUGUGUAGGCGGCCUUCUAAGUUUGGUGUGAAAUCUCCCGGCUCAACCGGGAGGGUGCGCCGAAGACUGGGGGGCUAGAGUGCGGGAUGGGAGAGUAGAAUUCCUGGUGUAGCGGUGAAAUGCGUAGAUAUCAGGAGGAAUACCUGUGGUGUAGACGGCUCUCUGGACCGCAACUGACGCUGAGACACGAAAGCGUGGGUAGCAAACAGGAUUAGAUACCCUAGUAGUCC
rnacentral:rRNA from 1 species